GACGAACGCUGGCGGCGUGCCUAAUACAUGCAAGUAGAACGCUGAAGGAGGAGCUUGCUUCUCUGGAUGAGUUGCGAACGGGUGAGUAACGCGUAGGUAACCUGCCUGGUAGCGGGGGAUAACUAUUGGAAACGAUAGCUAAUACCGCAUAAUAUUGACUAUUGCAUGAUAGUCAGUUGAAAGGUGCAACUGCACCACUACCAGAUGGACCUGCGUUGUAUUAGCUAGUUGGUGGGGUAACGGCUCACCAAGGCGACGAUACAUAGCCGACCUGAGAGGGUGAUCGGCCACACUGGGACUGAGAACCGGCCCAGACUCCUACGGGAGGCAGCAGUAGGGAAUCUUCGGCAAUGGACGGAAGUCUGACCGAGCAACGCCGCGUGAGUGAAGAAGGUUUUCGGAUCGUAAAGCUCUGUUGUAAGAGAAGAACGAGUGUGAGAGUGGAAAGCUCACACUGUGACGGUAUCUUACCAGAAAGGGACGGCUAACUACGUG
rnacentral:rRNA from 1 species